rnacentral:tRNA from 1 species
GGCUCGUUGGUCUAGGGGUAUGAUUCUCGCUUCGGGUGCGAGAGGUCCCGCGUUCAACUCCCGGACGAGCGC